ensembl:misc_RNA
UUUUCAGAUUUAGAUUGAGUUCAGUGGCUGUCACAAAAUCAUAAGAAAUUCUAUGAUUGGUCAUAUGCAUUAAUUCACUGUCCAGUUUAUGACCACAUAAAUAGACUUUUUUUUUUUCCCUGCUUAAUGUCUGCUUUGAGUUUAGGGUAUAUCCCAGAUAUUUAGUUCCCCUUAAUUACUUUUGGAGAUGUUUCUCAUAGCCAUUAAUGAAACAAU